GAAAAUGAUUCCUUGAAUUGGCAAUCGCUUCAAUGUAGUACUCCCUCCGUCCCGCAAUAAGUGACUCAAAAAUGACUCAACUUUGUACUCCUUCCUUCAAUUGGAGUAUAUGUUUUCUUUUCUCAUAGGAAAGGAGAGUGCUUUAAUUUUUUACAGAACAAAAUUGAGAUUGAUUUAUUCUUUAGUUAAAAUUGGUGCCACGAAUAUGUUUCAUGGAAUCUGAGAAUUGUUCCAAACGUAUCGAUAAAGUACUUCCAAUAUAGUAAAAAUUGGCAGUCUAAGGAUUUUGCAUUGAACCUCUUUUAAAAUGGUGAUGAAAGACCACACAUGUUGAAGAUAAGUUUGGCCUUAAUCUAAUCGAGAAACAACUGUUUUUCAUACCAGACAAGCAACUACUCCUCUCCGAGUCAAUGUGCCACACCAUUCACUCACCGGUGUAAUCCAUACACAUGUUCAGUACCUUUUGAAUUUUAUGCUCCCGCUUCUCCAUGUGUCAACCCCUUUGUUCCUUGUUGACCCUAGCUUGUCUUGAUGCAACAUCAAGCAACAACAAAAUAUUACACCUGAUACGACAUCAAGCUAUACAGGAACUAUUAGACCACCCAAAUUAUUGAAGCUUCAGAAUUUGUGUCUGGGUCCAUGCCUAAUAAACUGGAAGAAAACCAAAAGAUACUUAUUGAUAUGAAUCAACUUGGUUAAGUAUGGUCAAAUACAAUGCACGGUGGAAUAUCUGCCCUGGAAAACAAAAGAAAAGGAGAUGGAAGAAAUCAUGCACUCAAUGGGUGGCUGUAAGUUCACGGGUAUCAAGACUUGGCUCACAUAUCAUUGAUCAUGGGUCUGUGUCAAUAUGGCUCCGGUGCCCAGUUUAUCACGGUGUUUUGUUAUUAUUUCCGAGAUAGUACUUUCUAUUAUAGUGUUGAGAUAAGCAAUUUAGAUGUUUUAAAUAUUCCCAGCUCUUUGGAUAAGAAGUAUUUCAGUAACUGAAUAAUCUUUGACCGUCCAAAAGAACUACCAUGUUUCUUUGGGAAUAACAGCAGAACAAAAAAAUCGAGAAUCAUGGCUGACCUAUGAGGCGCAGAUGUUGCCGAGGACCUAUAACCAUGCCUCCUCUCCUUUGCGCAACCUUGAAACCACGAGUAAUUACCUGGCAUUAUUUCAUUAUCUCAGCUGGUUUUAUGACUUCGAACAUAUGAGAGUACUCUAACAUGUAAAAUAAUUCUUUCUCAGGUUCCAAAUAAGUCAACAGUAGGUCAAAAAUAGAGGUGAAACAUUGCCAGGCAGGCAGACACACAACAACAGCCGAUGAUUAUAGCUUAAGGUCCAAUGAGGAUAAUAUAAGUAGUGGAAAACGGAAUUUUGUAUCCACAUCCCUAUUGAUCAAGGAGUAAGUCAACAUGAUACAAGGAACGUACAACAACACACCCGAGACAAUAUAAUUACAACACUGCAGAAAAAUUAGAGAUCCAUGUAAUCAAAUAUCUCUUUGUUAAAUUUUAGCUGAACAACUUAACUUAUAGAGUGUCGAUGGUUCAGAUCUUUUUCCUUUUAAUUAACAUGUGAGUUAUUAUAAAGUGGGUAAUUUCUUUUUGCGGUAUAUAAAGUGGGUAACUCAUAUAGACUAAGACAUGGAAAAAGGGUGUAGGUGGUGCAAAUUCAUAGCAAGUUUUAUAUUGGAUGCACACAAACAACUGUGUGGACACACAAAAAGAAAACAAUCACUUUGAAAGUUUGAAUAGAAAUGUCUAAAUGAACAUCAGAUGGUCUAGUAUCUCCACUGAGAGCACUACAUGGACCCCUCAUUAACAAUUUAGCAAUGAACAAACAAUUCUAGUAUUUAGACAUGAGAAUACCUUGUACAGAAUUUCAAAGCCAUAAAAAACGUUACCACUGGUUUGGGUAUCCUGGAAAUAGAACAGAGGUAAUAAAUUCCUUAUAACUAAUCAGGUGAACAUAGAAAAUUGAUUACCUCUGGUUUGAUCCCAUGUGCUCUAGCCAAAAAUAGAUCAAAUCAGCAGGAUAUCCUAUAAGGAAACAAAUCUAGCAAGGAAACUGAUUAUUAUUAUAUCUAAUUUCCAGCUACCAGUGGUAGGCGCAAAGUGGAACACUAUUACGUAGGACAACAAAUUUGGGCAGGAGGAUGUAUAAUGGUUAUGAAUGCCAGGCAAAGUGUAUUAAGUUCAUAACUAUGAGCAUGCAAAUAAUUUAUAUGAAGGGUCCCUUUUCUUCUGCAUAAGUGAGACAUACUGUAUGUAUGUGUAAUGUGUCAACCUGUACACAAAUACAAAAUAUAUAUUACAACGGAAAAUGCGUGAAUAUGAUGAUGAAUAUCUUAUUCUGAACUCUUUUGCAUCUUGUAUAAUGGACAGGGAUUGAGAUUCUAAUUUCGGCACUACUGGAGAGUAUGUUGUGUGCAAAACGAAACUACAUGCAGUAAUCUACAUGAUUGUUCGUACCAACAGAGAAACAAUUUUGCAUUUAGUAGAUGUGUGUAUGUUUCAGGGUUACUUUCACAAUAUUUAGUUGCUAUAGAAAAAACACUUAAGGCUAGCAAAUAGAAUUAACCUAGUACAUAGAAAGUAGAGAACUGACCGCUGCAGUAAAUUAUGAACUGAUAUCACACAUAAAACAGUAACAUACCCCAAAAUCUAUUCCUCGCAGCUCCCCACAAGUCUUCCUUCGCCCUCUUCUGCUCCACCAACCC
rnacentral:lncRNA from 1 species